GACGAACGCUGGCGGCGUGCUUAACACAUGCAAGUCGAACGGGCCUUGUCCCCUUUUUUUUUUGGGGGUGGGGUUAGUGGCGAACGGGUGAGUAACACGUGAGUAACCUGCCCCUCACUUCUGGAUAACCGCUUGAAAGGGUGGCUAAUACGGGGUGUUCUGGCCUGCUCGCAUGGGUGGGUUUGGAAAGAUUCGACCGGUUUUGGUUGUUUUGGUGGGGGAUGGGCUCGCGGCCUAUCAGCUUGUUGGUGGGGUGAUGGCCUGCCAAGGCUUUGACGGGUAGCCGGCCUGAGAGGGUGGGCGGUCACACUGGGACUGAGACACGGCCCAGACUCCUACGGGAGGCAGCAGUGGGGAAUAUUGCACAAUGGGCGCAAGCCUGAUGCAGCGACGCCGCGUGAGGGAUGGAGGCCUUCGGGUUGGGAACCUCUUUCGCCAGGGAAGAAGGUCCUGCUCUUUGUGGUGGGGUUGACGGUAGCUGGGUUAAUGAAGCGCCGGCUAACUACGUG
rnacentral:rRNA from 1 species